ACUGUGCAUUACCAGCAGCUGUGGUCAGCACCGGGGCAGAUGUUAGAGGGCUCAAUGGAGCCUUAGGAGCAAAUGUCUCCAGUAGGGUCCCUGCACUCCCAGCACUGAUGGGACUGGAAGCCCUGGCACUCUGCUUUUGUCUCGGCUCCUUUUUGGUGGAUGAGAUCAGGCUUCGUCCCUGCCCCACAACUUCUUGGUGGUUUCACAUGGUAUUUGUAUGUAUGGAAUGUGCUUAUUACAGCCACUGCUACCUUCUGCCAUCCUAUCUCAACUCUGUUUGCAGCCGGGCCAUUGAAGUGUGCACCACUCCACUGAAGUCUCCUUGCUGCCCGGUGGUGUGAUGGGCUGUGGGAUCACUUCUACCCUGGGCAGAGCUGGAUUCACAUCUCUCUUCCCAUUCCAAGGAGUUCAUGGGCUGGCUAUGUGGUGUUACAGAGCUAUCCAUAAGGAUACCACCACCAUGUACAUAUAUAUCACAGCCUACUGCAUGUUGCAGCACUGUGGGUGGGACUGACGGACAAAGGAAGGAGAGAUGGGGAUGGAGAUAAAGGGGCAGUGCUGGAGCAACAUAACCAACAGUUUCCUUGGAGCCCAAGCAGCUUUGGCACUAACAUCUUUUGAACUAGGUUCUGCAUGUGGAUUUUACCCUGAGAAGCCCUAUUCUGCUGCAGAUCGGUGGGCUGCCAUGAAUGGCACAGUGACAUUACUAUUUUUCUGUUAAUUGAUUAAGUGGCUAACAGAGAUGCAGGCAUGAAGGCUUGCACCAGCAGCAGGCUGCCAAGCCACAGAACCAGCAGUGAUGUUUGGUAAAUUGAUCUGAGCCCAUAGGUAACACAGAGAAAAUAGAGUUUGUAGAGAUGUCUGCAGCUACAACAGCCAUCAAAGAACAGGCCACACAAGUCUCUGAAAGGUAUAUGAAGUAAAUCUGGUACAUUUGAUAAUAGAAAAGGCCUGAACCCAUCUGCCAUACUAUUUCUAAGGUGCUGCUUCCGAGCAAUCUCCAUGCCAUGUUGGAGAAGAAUAUCCACACCGCACUGUGAUGGGUCCCCUGUGCUGACAUGUGCCUCUGUGCUAAACCAAUGUGUUAGAAUCAUGCAUCAAGAUGUUUAAUGGUGACCACUGGAUCACAGCAAAUGUUGUAUGUGCCCCUACCUUAUCCCUUCACUGAGUUUGGACAUGAGAGUUUUUCGCUGUUUGCUGACAGGUAUAUGCGUGCACAAACAAGUCGAGACAAAUCCUUUUGGAUCAUCCCAGCCUUGUGCCCUGGUGCUGAGUUUCUGAUCCCAUAGCAAAAAGAUGGGUUGGGUGAUGUAUCUGUUCAGUAUUCAGUGUUUUUUCCUUCAUCAGCUGUAGAAGAUGGUUUUAUUUUUGCUGG